UCAGACUCAGACUCCGAAUCCGAACCACAAUAUCUAGCAUAGAAGUUGCGUCGUCCUCUGGCUCUCUUGGAGUCCCGCAUAAGUAGCUCAUCCUUUUCUUCAAGUUCCCUUCGGACCUUAACCAAUUCCUUCUUCAACAUCAGGUUCUCAUGAGUCUUCUGCUCAUCCUUACCAUCCAAAGUCAUGAUUAGAUUCUCAGCCUCAUUGUAUCGGGCCUUCC
rnacentral:lncRNA from 1 species